CAAUAGCGUAUAUUAAAGUUGUUGCAGUUAAAAAGCUCGUAGUUGGAUUUCUGGUGGGAGCGAUCGGUCUGGCGCUUAGCGCGAGUACUUGCAUCGUCUCCGGCCAUCCUUGGGGAGAGUCUGACUGGCAUUAAGUUGUCGGGCAGAGGAUCCUCAUCGUUUACUGUGAAAAAAUUAGAGUGUUCAAAGCAGGCUUAUGCCGUUGAAUAUAUUAGCAUGGAAUAAUAAGAUAGGACUUUGGUACUAUUUUGUUGGUUUGCGCACCAAAGUAAUGAUUAAUAGGGACAGUUGGGGGUAUUCGUAUCCCGUUGUCAGAGGUGAAAUUCUUGGAUUUACGGAAGACGAACUACUGCGAAAGCAUUUACCAAGGAUGUUUUCAUUAA
rnacentral:rRNA from 1 species